rnacentral:lncRNA from 1 species
UGGAAACUAGGUAGGCAAAUACAGAGCCUCUGAAAAGCUAAGUGAAGUUUUCAAUAGUCUUACUGUGCUGAGGACACUAGGACUAGAAUUUAGAACUUAUGGGGCAAGGGCCAUGAUAAACACCCCAGCCACUCAAUGGAAAACCCUAAAACCAUGCUCUAAGAAUAAACAUGAUCCAGGAGUAGGUAGAGAUUCAAUACUGCUACUGAGCCCUGAGUUAACUCAGUCCCUGGUUGAAUUAAGCUGACUAACCCAUAGUAUAUGAUAUGGUUUGGCUGUGUCUCCACUCAAAUCUCCUCUUGAAUUGUAGCUCCCACAAUUCCCACAUAUCGUGGGAGGGACCUGAUGGGAGGUAACUGAAUCAUGGGGAUGGGUCUUUCCCAUGCUGUUCUUGUGAUAGUGAAUAAGUCUCAUGAGAUCUGAUGGUUUUAUAAAUGGGACUCCUGCACAAGCUCUUUUUUUGACUGCCUCCAUGUAAGAUGUGACUUUUCUCCUCAUUUGCCUUCUGCCACGAUCGUGAGGCCUCCCCAGCCAUGUGGAAUUGUGAGUCAAUUAAACCUCUUUCCUUUAUAAAUUACCCAGUCUUGGGUAUGUCUUUAUUAGCAGCGCAAGAACAGGCUAAUACAGUAUAUCUACCUAUCAGAGGAAAGGAUGAACAAUGUCCAGCAUUCAAUAAAAAAUGUAGGCAUACCAAGAGACAAGACUAAAUGGUCAAAUAUCAGGGGGAAUAUUUAGAUAUGGGAAAUCAACCCACAGGUGAUUCAGAUAUUGGACUUAGCUGAUAAGGGCUUAAGUGAACUGUUAUUAAUAUGGUAAAGACAAUAUAGAAAAAGAUAGAUGGAUGAAAAUAGAAUUUCAUCAGACAAUUGAAAACUAUGAAAGGAAC